GCGACGCUUUGUGCCGUAGGGGUGUACUGCGUGUGCACCGCCCGUGGUGCCGCACAGCUUGGUUGGCGUGGCCGCUCGGUCUGGUCUGCCCUGCUUGGCCCCCGUGAACGCGUUAUGAGGUAGCUGGAUUGCGUGAAGGACAAGGAGUCGUACAGUGAGCUGUACUGGAAGGUCUGCGAGAGGCUCAGCACCUUCUUCGAGGUCAUUGUCUUUGACUUCAAGGGAAUGUCCCCCAUGACUGGCAUGUUUCCCCCCCCAGCGCAGGCUGCCCCCUCACCAGUUGUUCCUCAGGGGCCUGUGCCGUCGCCAUCCAUGUCACAGGGGACACCAGCUCCUGCCAGAUGCUCUGGGAGCGCUGGAGCCUGACAGCAUCUCGGCAAAGGAGAGAUGAGCGAGGAAGCGAGCGGGGACCCCCUGGAUGCAGAGAGGAGGAUAAAGGAGCUGCGGAGCAGAGACCAAUGGGGGCUCGGAUGGGAUGAGAGAGAGGGAAAGAGAGAUGAAGUGCCACAAGGUGCCCCAGGUAUUUGCUCUAAAGCUUUAAAAAGAGGGAACUGAAUGUAACGGAUUUUUUUACCCCUGAUAUUUACACAGCAUGCUCUAAAGUACUUUAUUUCUGUCUGGCUUUCAGUGGCGUGUUUCCUCAGCAGCCCAGUAGCAUCUCUCUCAGGCAGUGCUGCUGGCCAGAUGUCCCUCCUCGUUGCGUAGCACACAAAAAACCUUGUAGUCCAAUUAUAACUAUGUAUUUUGGAGAGAGAUAGUGUUAUGGUAUCAAUUCCCAGCUGUGGAAGUGAAAUCAGUGCCUGAAGAAAGUCAAAUACUUUUAUAGCGUAAGUAUUUUUAUUCGGUGUAUAUAAACCUAACGCACACCUUUUCACCGAAAGGGAAGGGACAAGGCAUUUCCCAACACCAGUGAGAAGGCUUACUGUUACGCUAAGAACGUGUUCAAAAUGGCAUCGGUUAGCUUUAAUCCUGACUUCAAGAGUUGAGCUGGCGCUGGCUUUUGCAGGCUGUGCUGUGUUUGGAGCUGAGCUGUUUCCCCAGAAUCCUCCUGUAGCUCAGCUCCUGUCCUGUCCCUCUGAUGGAAUUCCUCUACUCUCUUCCGGGCUAUUUUUUAAGAUACUGAGCUAUAACUGGGGAUUUUUGUUUUCCAGGUGCCUCGUUGUAGGUGUCUCGUGCUGCUCGAGAGAUGCCCCAGGCCAGGUUUGCAGCCGGUGGCGGAGCCCCUCGCCCCGAGGGGAAGGGGCCAGCCCUGGGUCUGGGCGUUUUGGGGCUUUUUUGGGGGGGAAUAGAAGGGUGUCUGUCUGUGUGUGUGUCUCGGGGGGUGAUGGUGUCAUUUGGGACACUGCAACAUCACUGGGGUUUGGGUCUCCCAAACGAGGUGGUUCACAGCCCCAAAACGUCUGAAAAUCUUGGAAUGCGUUAAAAAAAUGUGAAAACCUGUAACUAUGGGCAUGAGGCACUGAAAUAGAGAACAAUCUCUCAUUUAUAUAUGAGAAAUAUAUAUACUGAGAAAUAAUAUUAUGUAUGUAAAAUAACUUCAAAA